rnacentral:tRNA from 1 species
GCCCGAGUAGCUCAAUCGGCAGAGCACGGCUUUCGUAAAGCUGAGGUUAUCGGUUCAACUCCGAUCUCGGGCUCCA